rnacentral:rRNA from 1 species
UACGUAGGGUGCGAGCGUUGUCCGGAAUUAUUGGGCGUAAAGAGCUCGUAGGCGGUGUGUCACGUCGGCCGUGAAAACCUGCAGCUUAACUGUGGGCGUGCGGUCGAUACGGGCAUCACUGGAGUUCGGCAGGGGAGACUGGAAUUCCUGGUGUAGCGGUGAAAUGCGCAGAUAUCAGGAGGAACACCGGUGGCGAAGGCGGGUCUCUGGGCCGAUACUGACGCUGAGGCGCGAAAGCCAGGGGAGCAGACGGG